rnacentral:rRNA from 1 species
GAUGAACGCUAGCUACAGGCUUAAAACAUGCAAGUCGAGGGACCGGCGCACGGGGGAGUAGCACGUAUCCAACCUGCCCUUUACUCGGGGAUAGCCUUUCGAAAGAAAGCUUAAUACCCGAUGUAAAGGAUGGGGAUGCGGUCCAUUAGGUUGUUGGUGAGGUAACGGCUCACCAAGCCUUCGAUGGAUAGGGGUUCUGAGAGGAAGGUCCCCCACAUUGGAACUGAGACACGAUCCAAACUCCUACGGGAUGCAGCAGUGAGGAAUAUUGGUCAAUGGGCGUUAGCCUGAACCAGCCAAGUAGCGUGAAGGAUUAAGGCUUAUGGGUCGUAAACUUCUUUUAUAUAAGAAUAUGUAUUAUAUGAAUAAGGAUCGGCUAACUCCGUGCCAGCAGCCGCGGUAAUAC